UACGGAGGGAGCUAGCGUUGUUCGGAAUUACUGGGCGUAAAGAGCUCGUAGGCGGUUCGUCGCGUCGGCUGUGAAAUCCCGAGGCUCAACCUCGGGUCUGCAGUCGAUACGGGCGGACUGGAGUUCGGCAGGGGAGACUGGAAUUCCUGGUGUAGCGGUGAAAUGCGCAGAUAUCAGGAGGAACACCUGCGGCGAAGGCGGGUUGCUGGGCUGAUACUGACGCUGAGGCGCGAAAGCCAGGGGAGCGAACGGG
rnacentral:rRNA from 1 species